AGCUCUUCAGAUUUACUGACAGAGGAUACAUGCAUUGUGUUAAUAAUAAUACCUGUUAUAGACAAACUUGACCUGUUGGUAUUAACGACAUACAAGAUAUUCCCUUACAGUAAAGACCUGAAACCAACAAACGUUCGGAGACAGCAUGGAUACCAUGUUGGUUUACCUGACGUGCUUUCUUGUGAUCCUGAUCCCGAUCAAAGGAGGAGAAACGCAACAUGAUUUCAGCAUGUCGUAUGUAUGCAACACCAACGGACAGAUAGACAUUGAAUUCCUUGGUACUGACCACCGUAACAUCCAUUAUGGGUUAGCUGUAUGUGGAGAGUUGUCCAGUAUCGUCAAUUUCAGUGACGGACUCCACCACGGUACACUGAGCGGCUGU